rnacentral:rRNA from 1 species
AGAGUUUGAUCCUGGCUCAGGACGAACGCUGGCGGCACGCUUAACACAUGCAAGUCGAACGAGAGAAGAGGAGCUUGCUUUUCUGAUCUAGUGGCGGACGGGUGAGUAACACGUGAGCAAUCUGCCUUUCAGAGGGGGAUACCGAUUGGAAACGAUCGUUAAUACCGCAUAACAUAAUUGAACCGCAUGAUUUGAUUAUCAAAGAUUUAUCGCUGAAAGAUGAGCUCGCGUCUGAUUAGCUAGUUGGUAAGGUAACGGCUUACCAAGGCGACGAUCAGUAGCCGGACUGAGAGGUUGAUCGGCCACAUUGGGACUGAGACACGGCCCAGACUCCUACGGGAGGCAGCAGUGGGGAAUAUUGCACAAUGGAGGAAACUCUGAUGCAGCGAUGCCGCGUGAGGGAAGAAGGUUUUAGGAUUGUAAACCUCUGUCUUCAGGGACGAAAAAAGACGGUACCUGAGGAGGAAGCUCCGGCUAACUACGUGCCAGCAGCCGCGGUAAUACGUAGGGAGCGAGCGUUGUCCGGAAUUACUGGGUGUAAAGGGAGCGUAGGCGGGAUCGCAAGUCAGAUGUGAAAACUAUGGGCUUAACCCAUAAACUGCAUUUGAAACUGUGGUUCUUGAGUGAAGUAGAGGUAAGCGGAAUUCCUAGUGUAGCGGUGAAAUGCGUAGAUAUUAGGAGGAACAUCAGUGGCGAAGGCGGCUUACUGGGCUUUAACUGACGCUGAGGCUCGAAAGCGUGGGGAGCAAACAGGAUUAGAUACCCUGGUAGUCCACGCCGUAAACGAUGAUUACUAGGUGUGGGGGGACUGACCCCUUCCGUGCCGCAGCAAACGCAAUAAGUAAUCCACCUGGGGAGUACGACCGCAAGGUUGAAACUCAAAGGAAUUGACGGGGGCCCGCACAAGCAGUGGAGUAUGUGGAUUAAUUCGAAGCAACGCGAAGAACCUUACCAGGUCUUGACAUCGUAUGCAUAGCUCAGAGAUGAGUGAAAUCUCUUCGGAGACAUAUAGACAGGUGGUGCAUGGUUGUCGUCAGCUCGUGUCGUGAGAUGUUGGGUUAAGUCCCGCAACGAGCGCAACCCUUACUGUUAGUUGCUACGCAAGAGCACUCUAGCAGGACUGCCGUUGACAAAACGGAGGAAGGUGGGGAUGACGUCAAAUCAUCAUGCCCCUUAUGACCUGGGCCUCACACGUACUACAAUGGCUGUCAACAGAGGGAAGCAAAGCCGCGAGGUGGAGCGAACCCCUAAAAGCAGUCUUAGUUCGGAUUGUAGGCUGCAACCCGCCUACAUGAAGUCGGAAUUGCUAGUAAUCGCAGAUCAGCAUGCUGCGGUGAAUACGUUCCCGGGCCUUGUACACCCCGCCCGUCACGCCAUGGGAGUCGGUAACACCCGAAGCCUGUAGUCUAACCGCAAGGAGGACGCAGUCGAAGGUGGGAUUGAUGACUGGGGUGAAGUCGUAACAAGGUA